AAGUUGUUGCAGUUAAAAAGCUCGUAGUUGAACCUUGGGCCUGGCUGGCCGGUCCGCCUCACCGCGUGUACUGGUCCGGCCGGGCCUUUCCUUCUGGGGAUCCGCAUGCCCUUCACUGGGCGUGCCGGGGAACCAGGACUUUUACUUUGAAAAAAUUAGAGUGUUCAAAGCAGGCCUUUGCUCGGAUACAUUAGCAUGGAAUAAUAGAAUAGGACGUGCGGUCCUAUUUUGUUGGUUUCUAGGACCGCCGUAAUGAUUAAUAGGGAUAGUCGGGGGCAUCAGUAUUCAAUUGUCAGAGGUGAAAUUCUUGGAUUUAUUGAAGACUAACUACUGCGAAAGCAUUUGCCAAGGAUGUUUUCAUUAAUCAG
rnacentral:rRNA from 1 species